UACGUAGGGACCAAGCGUUGUUCGGAUUUACUGGGCGUAAUGGGCGCGUAGGCGGCUUAACAAGUCACUUGUGAAAUCUCCGGGCUUAACUCGGAACGGCCAAGUGAAACUGUCAAGCUAGAGUGCAGAAGGGGCAAUCGGAAUUCUUGGUGUAGCGGUGAAAUGCGUAGAUAUCAAGAGGAACACCUGAGGUGAAGACGGGUUGCUGGGCUGACACUGACGCUGAGGCGCGAAAGCCAGGGGAGCAAACGGG
rnacentral:rRNA from 1 species